CCUACGGGAGGCAGCAGUGAGGAAUAUUGGUCAAUGGGCGGGAGCCUGAACCAGCCAAGCCGCGUGAAGGAAGAAGGCGCCAGGCGUCGUAAACUUCUUUUGUCAGGGAACAAAGAGCGCCACGCGUGCCGUUGUGAGUGUACCCGAAGAAAAAGCAUCGGCUAACUCCGUGCCAGCAGCCGCGGUAAUACGGAGGAUGCGAGCGUUAUCCGGAUUUAUUGGGUUUAAAGGGUGCGUAGGCGGUCCGGAAAGUCAGCGGGAAAAGACCGGGGCUAAACCCCGGCGAGCCGGUGAAACUGGCGGACGAGAGUAGGAGAGAAGUACGCGGAAUGCGUGGUGUAGCGGUGAAAUGCAUAGAUAUCGCGCAGAACUCCGAUUGCGAAGGCAGCGUACCGGCGCCGGACUGACGCUGAGGCACGAAAGCGUGGGUAUCGAACAGGAUUUGAUACCCUAGUAGUC
rnacentral:rRNA from 1 species